GGCUAUAGCUCAAAUAAUCUUUCUCCUUUUACAAAGUCAGAUAUAAAAAAAUAAAAAUAAAUUAUAUCUGAUUGAAUGAGGUCGAGUUUGCAUUUGAAAGCUUGUGUUAGUGUUACCCUGAGGAGGCUUUGCACAGUGAUUCGAAAAAUCAAAUUAAAUAUAUAAUUUAUAUAGGAGUGAAGUUCAUAUAUAUAUAUAUAUAUAUAUACACAUAUAUAUAUACACACACUUAAAGAAGAAGCAUUUGAUCCCUCUAGCAUUUUGUUUUUGAUGAUUGUGCAGUGAGAUUCAUAUGGUUUGGAUAAGGAUAAAAUGUGCCAUAUGCUCUAGGUGUACAUAUUCCCUUGUCUAAAGAACCAGCUUCUCUCUAGGCAAUAUGCUGCAGUGGAUGUGAUAACAUUCUGAUCAGGCUCACAUUUUAUUAUUUAAUUUAAGUUUUAGGAGUUCAUCAAAUAAUCUUAAAUAAUUAGAUUGAGAUUUGUUCAAAGUUACUUAAAAUGAGGCUCAAUUUAAGUGAACCACGUGUGUUGUACCAAUUGUCGAUUACCGCAUCAAUUGUCGAUUAUACCAAGGUUUUUACUUACAUAUAAUUAUUGGGUCAAUGUGUUGUUGAUGUCCAUUCAACGCAACUGCAUUGUACUAUCGAUUGUACCAAGGUUCUCGUUUCAAUAUAGACGUUGGGUUGGGGCAUCAAGCGUGUUCUACUGAAUAACUUUGCUAGAAACGAUCCGGAC
rnacentral:lncRNA from 1 species